GGCGGGUGUGUCUCCCUCAGAAUGCAGUUUCUUUUUAAAUAAUUUAUUUUGUUGUUGCAAGGGAGGGCUAAAAGCUCAUACCCAGUAGGGACGAUAAAGAGUGCAUAGAGUGCAGGUUUUGGCUACAACCAUUUACCAUCCAUGAACAAAUCUACUUUCUGUCAUUUGCCGACUUUUUUUUAUAACAUACAAUAAAAUAAAAGAGAGUUCCGGUGACAGAAAAAUUAGGACGAGUUCAUACCAGUGCUGUUUCUGUCGCAAUCCUCCCUCAGGCUGACGAGGUUGAUGUUUCAAUUGAAGAAGGAAGACUUAAAAAUUGAUACCUACAGAUCUGGUGGUCAGCAUGCAAAUACAACAAACAGUGCUGUUAGAAUAACUCACAUUCCGCUGGGACUACAAUUGCUAUAUAAGAUGAGCGCUCUCAACAUCAAGUGAAUAUUUUCAAAAGAUUGGAACAAGGCCAAAGCACUUACCAAAGCACUUAAAGUAGUGUGUGCAAAGCUAUUUGAAAUGGAAAGGGUCCGAGCUCAUAGAUAACACAAUCAAAACUUCGGUCGGAAUAGAUUGGCAGCGGUGAUAGAUCUGAACGCAUCCGGACAUACAACUUUCCUCAAGGCCGUGUCACUGAUCAUAGAGUUGGUAUAACUUAUCACUCAAUAGAUGAUGUGAUGCAUGCUGAGAAUCUUGAGGUAUUUAUUGAUGCUCUUUUAUUGCAAGAAGAAAUGGAUGCAAUUGCAACUUUUAGCUCUUCUCAGUAACACCAACUGAUGGAACCAGGCGUUACUGAGUUAGUCAUUGUUGUACUUCCCAUGCUGAAAAAGAAAGGUUCUUGUAUUUUGAAUAAGAUAUGCUAGAUUUAGAGAGAAAAAAAGGUAGAAAUUCUGAUAGCAUAGUAUCAAAUGAUGUGUGUAUGAUUAUUUGAUAAUAUAAUUACACGAUAUAUUUGGUCACCUGUGUAA